rnacentral:rRNA from 1 species
UACGAAGGGGGCUAGCGUUGCUCGGAAUCACUGGGCGUAAAGCGCACGUAGGCGGCUUUCCAAGUCAGGGGUGAAAUCCUGGAGCUCAACUCCAGAACUGCCUUUGAUACUGGAGAGCUCGAGUCCGGAAGAGGUGAGUGGAACUGCGAGUGUAGAGGUGAAAUUCGUAGAUAUUCGCAAGAACACCAGUGGCGAAGGCGGCUCACUGGUCCGGUACUGACGCUGAGGUGCGAAAGCGUGGGGAGCAAACAGG